rnacentral:tRNA from 1 species
AGUGUUGUGGCUCAGCAUUACAGCAUCUGUCUUGCAUUCUGAAAGUCCCAGGAUCAAUCCCUGGUAUCUUUA